rnacentral:rRNA from 1 species
UAUCUUUUCCCGUUUCCCCACUCUGGACGCUCUAUUUCGAUAAGCUCGAGGGCGAGCUCGAGCGGCGCAGCAUAGCAGGCUAUUCUCCCCGUCCAUGGCGAUUCUCGCCGCUCGAUUUUGAUUUCUUUUCCCUUUCUCUUUGAUCUCCAGUGUCGCGGUUGGUUGCUCCUCUCUCCCGCUCUCUUCCGCUCUCUGCCCGUGUGCUUUUUGCUUGCGUCUGGUUCCAAAUCUAGUGUAAUUUGUUGGUGUAAUUUGUUCAUCAAGGAAUUCAUCGUCUCCAUCUUGUCCAAAUUCAUGUUAUAGAACAGGUUUGUGUCCCAGGGAUUGGAUUCUCCUCCCCCAUCUUCGCUUGCUGGUAUUUCCUGAUGCAAUUCUGCCUCCAGUGUCUACUAAGAAACUCCUUCAGUUUUUUGUUCUUGCAAGAGGUGAAGAGAGAUGAUGGAUGAGGGAGUUGGUGUUUGACUGUUUUUGCUGUGUGGUCCCUAAAUCAGGAGGGGGUUUGUUUGUCCAGGACGAACCGGGUGGGAUGUUUAUCCGACCUAUUUAGUGAUUUUACUGCUAAUAAAUGUGUACUGUGUUGAUUGGUCAGGAAAUUUGACUGUUUUCGGAUUGAAAAACAGUCAAAUGUCAAAUAGAUAGUCCCUAAAUUUAUACUUGAG